rnacentral:rRNA from 1 species
UGUAUCCUACGGGGCGCAGCAGUGAGGAAUAUUGGUCAAUGGGCGGGAGCCUGAACCAGCCAAGCCGCGUGAAGGAAGAAGGCGCCAGGCGUCGUAAACUUCUUUUGUCGGGGAACAAAGGGCGCCACGCGUGGCGUUGUGAGUGUACCCGAAGAAAAAGCAUCGGCUAACUCCGUGCCAGCAGCCGCGGUAAUACGUAGGGAGCGAGCGUUAUCCGGAGUUAUUGGGCGUAAAGGGUGCGUAGAUGGCAUAGUAAGUCUUUUGUAAAAAUGCUGGGCUCAACCCAGUAGGGCAAAAGAUACUGC